UCCCGCCUGCCGCGAGGAAACCAUUUAAAAGCCCAGCUUCUGAAGCACGGAGGGAGAAGAAAGAAUGAAAGAAGGGGAGGAACGGGAAGGAGGAAGAAAACGGGUGGGGAGGAAGGCGAAAGAAAGGAAAGACGGGAGGAGAAGGAGGAGGAGGAGGAGGUGGUGGUAGUGGUAGGAUAAAACAGAAAAAGAGACACGCUAUCAAAGCAGCCGGUACCACCUUCCCCGCCCCGGCGCGCUCACAGAGGCGCAAGAGCGCACGGCCCCUCCUUUCUCUCUCUCUCUCUCUCUCUUCCAGCGCCGCCGAAGAGAAGGAAGGGAACUAAGGCACACAGGCGCGCAUACACACACACACACAAAAAGGCCUUUCCUGCUCGCUCGCAAGAUGCUCCUGGCAGGCUCGGAAGAGAAAGAGAAUGGAGCGGGGAGUGGGUGGCUGGGGGCGCAAUGAGCACGCGAGGCUAUUUUUGGUUCUGCGAAAAGGAGGCGUGGGUAAUUGUGCGUGAGGGGGUGUGCGCGUGUGUGUUCACAUAGGAAUAAGUACGCGUGCGCGCGCACACACGAGAGCUAGCUGCCUGCGGUAGAAAGGACUCGCUGCAAGAGGAAGGGGCUCGGCGAAUGCUCAUCGGGCGUACGCGGUGAACGGGACGUCGUCGGAGAAGCAAGCCGUGCAAAACAGGCUCGUGCCCUGAGGCCAUUUAGGGCCUCUCCUCUGUCUUAUUUUCCACCCCUUCCAGUCGCAAAUGGCCCUUUCCCAGAAAGAAUCUUAGCAUUUGGCACUAACAGAAAGGCCUGUUUAAAGUAACUUAGGCCACCUUCAGAAUAGCCAUUCGCCUUACUGGAAACCAACGCCUUUCCAUAUAUUUUAUGGUUCCUUCUUGUAUUCCUUAGAUCAGAUGGAUCUGAUCUAAUCCUGAUGCGCUUCUAUGUACAAAUUUGAAUAAUUUUUUACAUGCCUACCAAUGUCUUAUAAGCUAUGUAUGAAAGGCUCAAUGACCGAGUCAGUUUGGUUUAGUGGUUAAAGCACCAGGCUAGAAAGCAGGAGAUGGUGAAUUCAAGUUCCGUCUUAUAGCCACCAAAGCCAACUAGGUGACUUUGGGCCUGUCACACUCUCUCUCACCCCAACCCACCUCACAGGGUUGUUGUUAUGGGGAAAGUAGGAGGAGCAAAAUGUGUUGAUACGCCUUGUAAAAAAUAAUAAAAGGGUGGAUAUAAAUAAAUAAAAAGAUAACCAGAAACAUUCAAUGACAAGUUGAGAAAAAGAAUGCAUGAAUGCAAACUCCUCCGUGCCUAACGUGGAGACAAACUGCGUUUCCCAUGUAAUUACAUAACCUUUCUCUAUAUGGCUUCAGGCUGCUGCUCUAUUAGUACAGUGAUUCCAAUUAAAGGCCUGUGUAAAAGAUUAUAAUUUUUGCUAAUGAAUAUCUCUGGCACUGGACAGCGGUUUUCCAUGUAUGCUAGGUUCCAUAUUCCAGUUGAAUGUGAAGCAUGUGUAGAAAAAUGACCGCAUACUGCAAACAAUUUGGAAUAUAAUUUACCAAAUCCACAGUUUUUCCUCUCAUCAGCUAAAUGGAAAUUAUCAGUAAAGUCUAUGAGAGGUAGUUUGCAGGUAUUGUGUGUGCUGAACCAGUUUGCUCAUUCAUUCAUUCAAUAAUUUAUAUUUUGCUUUAUACUGUCUCGGAGCAGCUACUGUUAAACAUUUUAUUAAAAAUGGUGAUUUAAAAGCAGUGAUGUUUAAAGAAAUACAGAAUCAACAAAGAAAAUGAUUCAAAAGUUAAGCAAAUGCCAGAAACCAAUGACAGAAAAUCAAUUAAGUCGUUUAAGAAAGGGCCAGAAGGUUCUUCUCCAUGGUCAUAAAGUCCAUAUUCCACACAGAAUAACAAUAUUCAGAAAAGACUCUCCUGCUGAGCUCAAUGGUUGGCAGAUUCCUGUAGAACGAGAAGAUCCAUGAAACAACUUGGUUCCAUACUGUAGAUGUUAACCAGUAAUAAGCAGAAGUUCGAUUGAAAAUAGGCCAUUGGUUACUGAUAAUAAAAAGAGAAGUCACUGAUUGGCCAACAAAUAUUCCACACAUAGUAAGAACUGCAGGUGUCCUAGUGACAAAGAGACUGAAAUAGGAAGUCUACAGUUCAAAUCUUGCUCUGUCAGAGAACACAGAAACAGACACUUGGACUUGGGCAAAGAACCUUCUCCAAUGAUAGAUAAAGAUAUCAGUCUCCCUUCUAGAUUUCUUGUGAGAUGAUCUAUGGGAAAUAUUUCGACUACUCCAAACGCCUAAAUAACUGCCAAGUAUUAUAAGUAGUUAAUGUGAGAUCACUUUAAAAGUGAUGGUAGCAGUAUUAUUUUAACAAUAAAAAUUAAUAAAUAUGAUAAAAGUUUGUCUUUAACUCCUGGUGUUUAAGGUAGAAUACUGCUUUAAAAAUAUUUAUUUGGUAAAGUCGUUGAUUUCAAUGAAGCACCUUUGCAAAUCAAUAUUCAAAAGUUUACAAUGUUUGUACACACAACUCUUCUAGAAAUACCGACCUGAGGAAAGAACAAUUGCAAAAGCUGCAAAAUUUACCACAACACAUAAUUGUAUUGGUUUUCAAGACAAUUCCUGUAUUUUCAACCAUUAACUCUCUUGGAUUGGCAGAAAAAGAAAUACUCAGCUAUCCAUUUUAAGAAAGGAAUACCCUCAGGAAUCCUGCUAUUAAGUAAACAGCUCAAUCUGAUGACAUAAACCCAGGCAAGACUCAACAGAUCAACUUAGAUAUCUAUCAAACAAAAUACUAGGAAAGGAAGUGAUCGCUCAGCUCUGAGUCACUGCUGCGUUAUUGGUCAACCAAAGCCUGCCCUCAAAUCCCAAAACAACUAACAUAACAUGAGGGUAGGCUUCUUAUCUCUGCAUGGAUAGACAGUGACUUAGGGCUUUUAAUGUCUCAUCCAUGUUACUCACAGGCUGUUCUGGGUUUCAUUUCUGCUCUCACUGUUCAGAAUACUUUGCAUUUGGGACAUGCAUUCCUUAUCAGUCUGAGUAGGAAUCCUGAACAGUACACUCUGUCUAAACUGUUAGGGAGCCAUAGUAUGAAGUUAAUUUUACAGAUACACCUUAUCUCUUAAUAUCCCUGUUUUCAUUAAUUUAUCCCAACUCACUAAUGGGUGGUUUAACCAGUGUCUUCUUAUCUGAUGAAAUUAUCUUCAAGACAAAUCUGAUAUUGGUCUGUUGUAGAUGGGGGAAAAGUGCAGAAUCAUUACAGAUGGGCCUUUGAAUAUGGUUCUGGACAGGGUUGAUCUGAACUAACUUGCGAGAUAAACAAAAAUUCACAUUUCAAAGACGUGCCUAGAGAAUACCGUAGAAGGAGGAACAGAUACAUCAGAUCAGAAGCAAUAACUAGAGGAAUAAAAACAAGAUUUAGAUUACGCUAGAUAACUUUGCAUUUUAUAUUUGAAUAUGUUGUAUAUUAAUAGCGUAUGUGUUAACGUGAGUUCUGUUAGUUAUGAGAGAAUGGGAUAAAAAUAAUCAAAAAUAAGUAAAUACUGGGCGUAUGUACAUUUCUAUAGAUUGAAUGUGCUCCUAGGACUAAGACUACAAGUGAAGGCUUAAUAGCAGGAGUGAAAUAUAGCAGGUUCUAACAGGUUCUGGAGAACCAGUAGUGGAAAUUUGGAGCAGUUUGGAGAACCGGUAGCGGAAAUUUGGAGUAAUUCGGAGAACCGGCAAAUACCACCAAUGGCUGGCCCCUUAGUGGGGUAGGAAUGGAGAUUUUGCAGUAUCCUUCCCCUGCCACACCCACUAAGCCACACCAUGCCCACUAAGCCACAUCCACAGAACUGAUAGUAAAAAAAUGUGGAUUUCACCACCACUUAACAGGGCAUAUUUCUGUUGUUUUCUUACUGAUCCUUGGGUUUAUAUCCCCAUCAUCAUAACCCUAACACAUAUAUCAUAAGGGCGGUAUAGAAAUAUGAUAGAUAGAUAGAUAGAUAGAUAGGUAGGUAGGUAAGUAGGUAGGUAGGUAGGUAGGUAGGUAGGUAGGUAGGUAGGUAGAAAGAUAGAUAGAUAGAUAGAUAGAUAGAUAGAUAGAUAGAUAGAUAGAUAGAUAGAUAGAUAGAUAAAUAAGCAAAUAGAAAGUUGGACAGAAAAUAUGUAAUAAAUAAACCAGAACUCUGUCCAAAACAUAACCCAAACAAAAUGAGGGGCAUAAAAGCUGGGAAAAGAGAGUUUGAAUACAAAAAUGGGCCAUAUCUAAUCAGGAGCUGAAAAGAAAAAAAAAUUCAGGCUGAAGCUUCCCUAUGAGAGAUUAGAUAAAAAUCUUACUAACUCCUCUACUGUAAACCCACUUCCUCCUCCAUCGGGGUCAACUGAAUCAUACCACAGUUAUUAAGGGUUGGAAAGAGUUCCAGGAUUCAUGUUCUGCAUAAUAUCCCUACCUUUUGGGGAUACCAAGGAUAUAGCUAUAAUACGAGGGCAAUUGGUUGGUUUAGAACCUUCCCCACUAAAGUCCUCUAGAUACAUUAGACUGCCAUUCCUUUUUCCCCAGAGAGUCUAUCCAAUGGCCACACAGGAAGAGGAUAGAGACACCUGGCAGGAGAAGGCUGUUGCAGAAGUACUAAUUAUAUAGAAAAAAGAUAAUAUUUCAAAAUUAUUCUUAUAGCUGCCAUUGUUCAGGUAUUCUACAAGAACUUGAUUAUCUCAGUAUUUAAGAGAAUUCUAAACUCACAUUUCUCUCCAAGAGACAUGAAGAUUUAUGCACUGUAGCUUUGUAAACAGUGGAUUCCAUAAUAACCUGGACUAAAAGAAGAGUUCUAAAAUAAUGUAUUUUAUGGACUUGAAAGACCAAUGAGUUAUUAAAGCAUCUUUGAUAGGCUGCUUUAAAUCUGUUUAGACCAUCUGCUCCUGUAUCAUGAUACAAAUGUCUACUAUUUAGUCUAUUAAUUCAACUUCUAAAAUAGGUGCCCCAUAAACAUUUACAGUACAAAUUACCACAGUUAUACCAUCCAACUACCAAUCUUCUCCCUUGGAGCUACAAUGCUGUCCACAUUUUGUGCCCAUCCUAUGAAUGAAACAUAUAACAUCAUCAUAAUGUAGUAUAGCAAAGUUAUUUGCCCUGUUGGAUUACAGUAACACUACCUCAGUGAAUGGUCAUUCAUAUAUUUUCAUUUCAGAUAUCAUAAGUGUCAAUAUUGUUGUAUCAAUAUUGUGUCAAUACAAUGUUGUACCUUGAUGAACGUAUCUUUUCUUUUAUGUACACUGAGAGCAUAUGCACCAAGACAAAUUCCUUGUAUGUCCAAUCACACUUGGCCAAUAAAAUUCUAUUCUAUUCUAUUCUAUUCUAUUCUAUUCUAUUCUAUUCUAUUCUAUUCUAUUCUAUCCUAAUCUAAUCUACACUAAUCUAAUCUAAUCUAAUCUAUUCUAUAUGAGUAAUCUUGAGGUCUCUUAGAUUUUAAAAACAAUGUAAAAUCUCUGGUUCUUGUUUCCCCUAAUCUUGGAGAUGAAGUCAGGUACUGUGGAUGGGAACAGAGGUAUGUUUUUUAAGUAUUUAGAAGCAUUUUCUGUCCCCUGGAUCACUAGCCCACCUCCACCUGAAAUGUUUGGAUGACCUUGAGGGACAAGAGAAAGAGAUGCUUCCUAGGAACCAAACCGGCAAGAGAUGGAGGAGCCCCCAAGAAUGUAAUGGCCAGAGAAAGAAACUUACAAAGACCUAAGUUGAUCAGGAGAUUAAAAGUGGCCGUGGAAAGCUUAUACUUUCAGACUUGCAAGAUUGAUAUCAACUCUCCCAGGUAAACCAGAUAGGAAACAUGAUUAAAUAAGCUAAAUCUAUUUUAUUACGAGGCUGCAUUAACAGAAUCUUGCAAGCCUGAAGUAGGGAAGCAUGGUGAGAGGAAAUCUCUACUGUUUUAUUUGGAAUGAGAUAGUGAAUUAGCCAAUUUUGCUCCAACAGUAUUCUGAAAUGAUUAGAAUUCCAUCGUUUUAUUUAGGAAAAAAUAUUUCUUUUGAACAGAUGUGAGAAUAGUUGUGGGGCUGUAUGCUAUAAAUCUUAAUAGCAAAUGUAGGAUGGUAAGUAGGUUUAGGACUUUAUAUUUACAGAAGUUGUAGUAUCCAAUCUAAGGCGGUCACUAGGACCAGAAGUUUUAUUCUUCCAAGCUUUCAGACUUGUGCUGGACCCCUCCUCAGGGUGGUCCUGCAUGAGUCUGAAAGCUUGGAAGAGCACAUCUCUAAUCCUGGUGACUGACUCAGGUGGAUCUUGCAACAUUAUCCUGGGACACAUAUAUUUGUCUUCCUUCACAGUUAUAGGAGUCUUUACUGCAAAUAAAUGGUGAAUUCAUUGCUUUUGUGUUAUUUUUCUAUAAUUUUUAUUUGUUCUUAUUAUUUUUAUGGUGGUUGGACUGCACUCCAGAAGAGGGAAUAUUACCAAUAAAAAUAGCACAUUUCAGAUUAUGUUUUAAAAGUAUUUUAUUAUAUCAGUGAAUAAGAUAACUUUGUUUUUAAAUACGGCAACCCCCCCCCCCCCCAGUAAACUCAUAACAUAACAUAAUAACAGAGUUGGAAGGGACCUUGGAGGUCUUCUAGUCCAACCCCCUGCCCAGGCAGGAAACCCUACACCAUUUCAGACAAAACUCAUGAGAGAAAUGUUGAACUAACCUUCUGUUGUGUCUUUACUACAUUUUUCUGCAUUUGUCCCUUUCAAUUAUUUCCUUUCCCUUAUAGUAAAAGAAUGGCUGUGCAGCAGCUAAUCAGUUUUGCUUCCCUUUCUCUAUAGGACCAAGGUAGUUGCACAAUCAAGGCAGUGUCGGCUUCCUGUUCUCUGAGGCAGAGGUCUCCAGCCUUGGCAACUGUACGACUUGUGGACUUUAACUCCCAGAAUUCCUCAGCCAGCAAAGCAAAGCUGGCUGAGGAAUUCUGGGAGUUGAAGUCCACAAGUCGUAAAGUUGCCAAGGUUGGAGACCCCUGCUCUGAGGCAUUUGUAUCUGAGAGUAUUACUCUAUCACUCUUUAUUUUUUUAUUGUUUUACCUUCGAAUGGAGUUGGAGGAUUGGCAGAGAGAAGUAACUAGCUGAGAAAUAUAACUCUCCUCAUAUUAGUUAGUUAGUGAUUCAGGUUCUUUCUCCAUUAUGGAGUUUCACCGCUAUCUUUGAAUCAGCAAAAAACAAAAACAAAACCUACAUCAGCAUGAAAUUUGUCAUUCCUGCUUCUAUUUCUGGUCACUGACACCUACCUGACUUGCCUGCAAGUUUUUUUUUACAUACCUUGCUGGUGACCUUGCAUGAUUUUGAAACAAGAGCGGAAAUAAUACUUUUAACACUAGUUACAACUUGUUAAUGCCAACCAGUCUCACUCAUGGGCUGGGGACAAGCUGAGAAUAUCAUAGUGCCAUCACAGAAAAAAAUAUAUGUUACCAGGGCAUGCUUGGACAAAUUAGUUGUGAGAUCUUCAGAAGAGAGACAAAGGAUACAAAGUAAGACCUGCAACAAAGAUAGCAAUAUUUUUGGCAACAUUGUUUUGUGCCAAUUAUAGGAUAUAUAUAUAUAGCACUUUAAUUCAAUAAGAAAGAAUGAUCAACAUUCCUGCCUAGAGAAAUUCUAGAAAUAAUUUAGGAGGCCUGUAAAGUUGUUCUUGUGUCUACCUUUUUUCACUCCAAAAAAAGAAUCUUUUAUUGGAAUUUUUUCAUGCCUGAAGCAAUUUAAUUUAAUUUAUUAAAUUUGUAUGCUGCCUGACACUCAGCAACUCUAAAUGCAAUGUCUCAUCUUGAUCUCAAAAACUAUCUCUAGGGCAGAGCAGGGCAUAAAAUGUCUGUUCUAGAUUAAUACUUGUCUCCCUGUGUGAAGUAUUUGAUGCCAGCUUUUUCUAAACUGUGAAAUAUAGUAACAAGAUAUGUGCAAUUUGGCUUUUCUUUUUAAGAGUCCUUCAGAAGCACUUAAUGCAGAACUUUCUCACUUGGCAAAUCAGAACGGAAUGCUCUGCCUGUCCUAUAGAUUAGAAAGUUUCCAGUUUCCUUUUUGAAGUCAUUCCAAUAAAGUGACAAUAAAGGCCAGGGACAAAUUUUUAAGUAUUCAGAAAAAGAAUACAGGCUGGGGAAGAGGAGAGAAAGAGAGAUGGUUUUGCUUUUAAAUCCCCCAAAGUUUCACUUCUUCCCACACCUGUUUAAAACCACUAGAUUUCAUGCAAGCUAAAGUUCACACAGCAAAGUGUAAGGCUUUGGCUCCAUUAAUACACAAAUACACCAACCCAACAAUGGAAGUGGAGAACAUCCUUUAUCCAGGAGCAAAAAUAAUUUUAGGCCCAUAAAUCCAUAAAAGCACUCUUACAUACACAAUGCAAAACAAAAAUACUUCAUAAAUUUGCAUGACCACUGAAGACUACAAUUGUUGGACAUGUUAGAAUAUUGGGAGCUACAUAAUAUAAAAGAAACUGUAUUGAUUUUCUUACAGAGAAGGCCUCUGACAAUUUUAACUGGGCUUUCUUAUUCAUGCUUUUGGUAAAUGUGAAUUUUGGAAAAAAUUAUACAAUGGGUAAGAUCAAUUUAUAGUUCACAGAAAGCACAAAUAAUUGUUAAUAGAGAUCUAACAAAAUCCCAUGAGAUACAAAAAGAAGACAGAAAUGCCCACUCUCUCCUCUCUUGUUUAUUUUAGUCUUUGAAAUACUGCAGUGAGGUAAGAGACAAGACAGAAGACUUGUGGGAAUAAAGAUUUUAAAAAUAACUGGUAGUCCUUAUGACUAUAAUUGAGCCCACAAUUUCAAUUGUAAGUCAUGACAGUCAUUAAACAGGUUACCACAUGACUACAUCCAAUUUUAUAAUCUUUUUUACCAAGGUAGUUAAGAGAACACAGUGGUCAUAAAGUGAACAAUAAGGUCAUUAAGUGAACCUAUUGUUCGCUAUGGGGUGGGGUUUCUUUCUGGCAAAAAUGUCCUAAAUGUCCUAAAUUGCGGUCUCAUGACUGCAAGAUGUAGCAAAUGUGUGCAUAAAUACUGAGCACCCAAAAUGCAGUCACAUGACCAUAGGUUGUGAGGAAGCAGAGGCUGGAACUUCAAAUCUGAGUAAUCUUUUUCAGGAUCUUUUGUAACUAAAUAUAUACUCAGUGACUUCUUGUAAGUGGAGGACAACUGUAUCAACUGUUAGUUUUGAAAAAUCUUCUAAGGGGAAUUGAAAUAUUAAUGGCCAACUGAAAGAAUUUGAUGGUAUUAGCAGCUUUCAAGAUUAACAAACAGAAGAUGAAGAUUUUAACAAAAAAAUUAAAAUGUUAUAUCAAAUAGAGUUGAUGAAUAAAAUAGAUUUUUAGAGAGAGAAUAUGGUAUAAUCAUGAACUGUAUGUUAUUUCAAAAUAAGUAUGUUAAGACAUGGAAUAUGUUUUAAAAUACAUGUUAACAUGAAGGAAACUACAACUGCCAUUGCUGAUGAGAAUUCCUGUGAUAAAAAUGGAUGUCUUGCUUUGGAUUUCUGUUCUGUUCUGUUCUGUUCUGUUGUAUUCUAUUCUAUUCUAUUCUAUUCUAGCCGUGGUGGCGCAGUGGUUAGGAUGCCAUACUGCAGGGUAUUUCUGCUGUCUGCCAGCUGCCUGCAAUUUGGCAGAUCUCACCAGCUCAAGGUUGACUCAGCCUUCCAUCCUUCCAAGAGCCAGUUCCUUUGCUACCUUGGCAACAGCCAUCCUAACAGCCAGCCAUCGAUUUGAAACAGAAAGGAAGAAUAAGAAAAACAGAAGUUGGAUGAAUUUACAAAACAAGAUUACACAAGGGAAUUUCUUUCUGUUACUUAAUUAUUCUGAUAAAGAAUAAGCUUCUCAACUGUGCAUUGCCCGCUUGACUUCUGAGGGAUGGAGCACAGAUUGUACCUCAUUCAGGCACACAAUCCUUGAGAAGCUUUGGAGAAGGGAAGAGUUGCUGAGGCAUAGACACCUUCAUAAAUUCUCAUUACAUUGCAUUUAUUCUUCUGUUACAAAGUAUGAUUCUCUGCUAUCAAGAAGAAAGAGAAAAUGAUAUUUAUUCCCAAGUGAGCUUGACUCCUUUUUGGAUGCAUCCAUGAAGUUUACAGCAAUGUGGAAGUGAACAGAAAUUCCCUUCUUCUGGAUAUUCUUCAGCUUCUCAAUGUAGGUUACGGUCCUGAUAUUCCCUGGGGAUUUUAAUACCACAAGAUACUCUCACCCUAAGGUAGAAAAUUCGAGUAUUUCCUGCUUCAGAAUGACAGUAAAGUAAAUAUCACAGUGAUUUUUAUUAAUGGCAAAAUAAGAAGACCUGAAGACUACAAGAAAGGUCACAAAGUGAAUUGCAUGCAAUUUGGUGAUUACAUGAAUACAAGAUAAUUUCCUUUCAUGACGCAGGAGCCAUAGUGGUGCAGUGGUUAGAAUGCAGCAUUGCAGGCUAACUCACUGUCCACAGUCUGGAGUUCGAUCCUGACCAGCUCAAUAUUGACUCAGCCUUCCAUCUUUUCAAGGUUGGUAAAAUGAGGACCCAGAUUGUUGGGGGUAAUAUGCUGACUUUGUAAACUGCUUAGUAAAGCACUAGUAAAGACGUAAAUCAAAAUGCUAUUAAUUGCUACUCAUGGAACAACUUGGGAUUCUGUUAGAAGAAAAGUUAGAGAAAGAUUACACAUCCUGUGCUCACAAUACCAAGGUUCUAACUUUGGUUACUCUUACCCAAUGAAGUGCACAAUUUGGGGGAAUGUCCACAAAGAAGUUAGGAUGGGUCCAUACUACUUAUUUUUAUUUUUUUAGUAAUUAUCUAUCUGAAUCAGCUUCUCAGGAAUUUCCAGAGAACUUUCAUCAGAUUUGAAAGAUCUACUCAUGAUUAACUCCACUAGCUGAUUAGCCUCAGAUGAUUUAUUUAUUUAUUAAGUCAUUUGUAUGCAUGGGAUAUUAACCUAUAAUGUUAACCACAUGACUAGAACAUGUCUUCCUUUGGAUAAUCCAUUCUGUGGCUUAAAACUCAAUGAACAUAAACACUGAUUGAGGCUAAGAUGUCAUGAACAUAAGAGCCUUCAGCUGUAAUUGAACAGAAUUGGAAUUUGUAUUAUAAAACAUAAAAGGGAGAUUACACAAAAACUGAAAUGAAAGCUAAACUUGGAUGAGCAAAAGUAUCAGAAAUCACAUCACUUACUAAUCCUGCAGGACAUUUGGGAAACAAAUAAGGAAAUUUUAUUUUUAUGUAUAAGGCCCAUGUACCACUCUAAUCACCCUCGCUCUGAAUGGCUUUUUUUUUCUCCUGCUCCAUUGUGUCCAAUUUUCAGAAGCUGUCUGGAAAAGUCCAUGCAGUUUUCUUAACAAGAUUUUUCAGAAGUGAUUUGCUAUUACCUGCAUCCUAGGGUUGAGAGAGACGGCUGGUCCAAAGUCACCCUGCUGGCUUUGUGGUUAAGCCAGGACUAGAAUGUACCAUCUUCCAGUUUCUAGCCUAAUACCUUAACUAUUAUAUCAGAUUGGCUCUUUUUAUAUUUACAGUAGCACAUUUAAAAUAUCCAUUCCUCUAUCUGUAUACCUGCACCUUAAUGUCAUGGUAUAGAAACGUCAGAUGUAAUAAGCCAAGUAGGGAAGCACAUUGAUGAAUAUAGAUCUUAUAAACACACAAAGGCAUUCAUCCACAAUACUACUUUUCAGUUUAUCAGGAGAGUGACUAGCACAAGGUCACCUAGUUGGUUUUGUGCUUAAGUGGGACUACAAUGUUGUCUCCUAGUUUCUAGCUCAAUGCCUUAACUGCUACACCAAACUGGCUCUGAGUGGAAUAUGACUCCCCAAAUCCAUAAUUUGAGUUAAAAAGCAAAAUAUUGAUUAGCCUUAUUCAUUUAAAUUCAAGUCUUAUAUAUAAAAGUUAAACAUAACUCUUUUUUCUCUAUCCUACUAAUAGACCCUGAAAUUCAAAGCGUUAUUUGUUAACAUAAAAGGGAAUUUUGAAGCAACCUGCUAUCUUAUUCCAUUUUAAUGCACAGUAUUGAUGUCACUGAUUGAUUAAGAUUAUUUCUAGCACCCAGUGUGACUCAAAGCAUCUUUAAUUUAACAACCUCCAUAGACCAUAACAUUUCUACCUACAGAUCAGGUUUUUAACAGUUUAAACUCUAUCAGCAUAUAGGUAGAUAUAUUUGUUGAAAAAUACACCUGUAUAGAAUGUAGAAAUGACAGAAGAUGCCAGGAAACUGAUGCAUCAGUGACUACCCUAUGGAUUUUUUCUGAUGUGGUAUAGCACUUUACAUUAUUAUUAGCCAUUAUUAGUGAUUUAAAUGUCCUAUGUAUACACAGGAUAUUUCAUACCCAUGAAUAUAAGUGUUGUUCACAACCAGGUUUCAAUAGAAGAGAAUAUUUGUAGGUCAAGAUUAAUUUAUGGAGUCCUUCGUGCUCUCUGAGCGUUGUUGUUUUCUUGCAAACAUUUCAUUGCACAAUUAGGUAACUUCUUCCGUACACAUCUGCAGGAAAACAACUAAACUUAGAGACCAUUAAUCAGGUUUGUUAUUCUGCUUCAAAAGCUUAGGUAACAAUACUGGAACUCAAAAAAUCCAUUCCUUAAUACGCUUUAUAUAUUCUCCUAUCAUAGGUAAUGUCUUUUUCCAACAUACUUGACUUUUUAAAAGGCAGUCAACAUGUGAAUCUAAUACAGGUAGUCCUCGACUUACAACUAUAACUGAGACCAAAAUUUAUGUUGCCAAGCAAGACAGUUGUUAAGUGACCUUUGCCCCAUUUUACAAACUUUCUUGCCAGUUGUUAAGUGAAUCAUUGUAAAUUAAUUAAAUUAGAUUAAUUUAAUUAAUCUUAAAUUAGUAACACAGUUGUUAAAUUUGGCUUCCCAUUGACUUUGCUUGUCAGAAGGUCGCCAAA